rnacentral:rRNA from 1 species
CUUUCUUUGCUGGCGACCGGCGCACGGGUGAGUAACACGUAUCCAACCUGCCCUUUACUCGGGGAUAGCCUUUCGAACGAAAGAUUAAUACCCGAUAGCAUAAUGAUUCCGCAUGGUUUCAUUAUUAAAGGAUUCCGGUAAAGGAUGGGGAUGCGUUCCAUUAGGUUGUUGGUGAGGUAACGGCCCACCAAGCCUUCGAUGGAUAGGGGUUCUGAGAGGAAGGUCCCCCACAUUGGAACUGAGACACGGUCCAA